rnacentral:rRNA from 1 species
CAGCCGCCGCGGGAAUACGUAGGGUGCAAGCGUUAAUCGGAAUUACUGGGCGUAAAGCGUGCGCAGGCGGUUAUAUAAGACAGAUGUGAAAUCCCCGGGCUCAACCUGGGAACUGCAUUUGUGACUGUAUAGCUAGAGUACGGCAGAGGGGGAUGGAAUUCCGCGUGUAGCAGUGAAAUGCGUAGAUAUGCGGAGGAACACCGAUGGCGAAGGCAAUCCCCUGGGCCUGUACUGACGCUCAUGCACGAAAGCUAGGGGAGCAAACAGGAUUAGAGACCCCCGUAGUCCCUGUCUCUUAUAC